rnacentral:rRNA from 1 species
ACCGAGUCUUAACUGGGCGUUAAGUUGCAGGGUAUAGACCCGAAACCCGGUGAUCUAGCCAUGGGCAGGUUGAAGGUUGGGUAACACUAACUGGAGGACCGAACCGACUAAUGUUGAAAAAUUAGCGGAUGACCUGUGGCUGGGGGUGAAAGGCCAAUCAAACCGGGAGAUAGCUGGUUCUCCCCGAAAGCUAUUUAGGUAGCGCCUCGUGAACUCAUCUUCGGGGGUAGAGCACUGUUUCGGCUAGGGGGCCAUCCCGGCUUACCAACCCGAUGCAAACUACGAAUACCGAAGAAUGUUAUCACGGGAGACACACGGCGGGUGCUAACGUCCGUCGUGAAGAGGGAAACAACCCAGACCGCCAGCUAAGGUCCCAAAGUCAUGGUUAAGUGGGAAACGAUGUGGGAAGGCCCAGACAGCCAGGAUGUUGGCUUAGAAGCAGCCAUCAUUUAAAGAAAGCGUAAUAGCUCACUGGUCGAGUCGGCCUGCGCGGAAGAUGUAACGGGGCUAAACCAUG